AUGAAGGCUCCACACCUUCCCUUUUCGUGUGAAUUUAAUGAUAAUGAAACCUUGACUUCUUAUGCUAAUGGUAUAUAUGAUUACUAUGAUGUGGAACGAAUAGAAGAAUUUGUUGCUUUUAAGGGUGCUUAUGCAAUUGAAUCUUCAUUUGAAAAGUGUGAAAAUUAUGAUGAUGUCGUUUACAGACCUGAAAAUUAUGCUAUACUUAAAUAUUGCUAUGAGAAUUAUGAGUAUAAUGCCGAUAUUAAUGAGUUUAUUGAGAAAGUCUCCGCUGUCCAAGAAGAGACUAAUAUUUUGCAGGAAUCUAUGGAAGAAGAAAUUGAUGACAUUGUGAGCUCAUUGGAUGAAAAAGAUGACAAGGAGAGCGAAGAACAAAAGGAGAAAGAGUGGAUUAGCUACCCGUGCCCACCUUCUAAUGAGAGUUCACACAAAGAGGGAGAAUACCGGCAGCUGGAAUUCUGGACCUGA
rnacentral:rRNA from 1 species